CUUUCUGUGUCUGGCUUAUUUUAAUUAGCAUUAAAACGCAACAUGUUCAUCAAUAUUGUCACAAAUGGCAGGAUUUCCUUCUUUUUUUUUUUUUUUAAUAGCUGAAUGAACUGGGAUUUCUUGGAGAAGUGGUAGAGCCAAGCUCUGGAACCGGAAAUACGCAAGGGAUCUCCAGCUCCAUGAAUGGUAUCUCCAUCUCUUCAGGUGACUGAGUUGGAAAUCUUGGCUUCACUCCACCAAUGACCUGAGUCAUUCUUAGAAAGUCUGAAGAAGGAGCAUGCAGCUCUGAGGGUGGCAGCAGGUCCAGGAAUUGGAAUGUGACCACAGGGGAAUUCUUCAUAAAGGGCUGAACUU
rnacentral:lncRNA from 10 species